CGGGCUUUGAUCACUCAGGGAGAUGCAAGCGAUCUUCGUCGGAGACGGCGAGGGAGGAGAGCCGGCGCCGGCGCCGUUCUCGAUAAUGCGGGAGAUCAGACCGUCGAGGCUGGUUCUGAUCACUGCAGAUUCGGCGUAUCGCGUCCUCGACGGGAAGAGGAAUCGGCACGAACUGCGAAGGCGGAGCGGAAGAAGGUGGAGGAGUGUUCAUGGCGAUCGACGAGUGAGUCCGUGCAAGAGAGAGGUGUGGAGGGACUGCCGUGCUAUUUUGUUCUGGCGGUGUUUAAAUUUUCCGGGAAAAUCUGGAAUCG
rnacentral:lncRNA from 1 species